GACGAACGCUGGCGGCGUGCUUAACACAUGCAAGUCGAACGAUGAAGAAAAGAAUCGAAGCUUCGGCAGAAAUUCAUUUCGGAUUAGUGGCAGACGGGUGAGUAACGCGUGAGCAACCUACCUCUUACAAAGGGAUAGCCUCGGGAAACCGGGAUUAAUACCAUAUCACAUUGCGACGAAGCAUUUCGAUGCAAUCAAAGCUACGGCGGUAAGAGAUGGGCGCGCGUCCCAUUAACCGGAUGGUGAGGUAACGGCUCACCAUAGUGACGAUGGGUAACCGGGCUGAGAGGGUGAACGGUCACACUGGAACUGAGACACGGUCCAGACUCCUACGGGAGGCAGCAGUGGGGAAUAUUGCACAAUGGAGGGAACUCUGAUGCAGCGACGCCGCGUGAGUGAUGAAGGAAUUCGUUUCGUAAAACUCUGUUCUAUGGGAAGAAAAGGACUGUACCAUAGGAGAAAGCUCCGGCUAAAUACGUG
rnacentral:rRNA from 1 species